UAAGAAGAGCAGCGUUCUCAAAGCCGGAACGACGCCAAAGCCCAACGAACGACGUGCGUGCUCCGAUGUGCACGCAAUGGUGGGGGCAAAUCGUUCCAGCAUCGAGACGCUGCAAAUCUAAACGAUCCUCGAAAUGCCGCUGUACGAUGUCUCGGAGUGAGGAAGACGUGAGUAAUCACCCUUCUCUUAUGCUCACUGCGACAAGGUGCACGGACUAGCUUGUCCAAGAGAUAUUGCGGCCGUCCUGUAUUAAUGACGCCGAACAACAUUGUCGCCAAGUGCAACUUUCUACGGGCCUCCAUCUUCAUCUGAUUGGCUGCAUUGAGGAAUGGCGUAACAUGAGACCGUGGCGGGACAUGGAAGCAGAAGCGAGCACAUGCAUUUUGAACCCGCUGCAACAACUUCGCUGAACUUGCUAACAGACAGGGCCCAUAAACUGUGUCACAAUAGUUUAGCUUAGACAAUACAAGAGCCUCACAAAGAGUUA